UACGUAGGGCGCAAGCGUUAUCCGGAAUUAUUGGGCGUAAAGAGCUCGUAGGCGGUUUGUCGCGUCUGCCGUGAAAGUCCGGGCUCAACUCCGGAUCUGCGGUGGGUACGGGCAGACUAGAGUGAUGUAGGGAGACUGGAAUUCCUGGUGUAGCGGUGAAAUGCGCAGAUAUCAGGAGGAACGCCGAUGGCGAAGGCAGGUCUCUGGGCAUUAACUGACGCUGAGGAGCGAAAGCAUGGGGAGCGAACAGG
rnacentral:rRNA from 1 species